rnacentral:rRNA from 1 species
AAAGCACCAAGGAGCAGGUAUCAGGCACAACCCAUUAGCCCAAAACACCUUGCUACGCCACACCCACACGGGCACCCAGCAGUGAUAAAUAUUAAGCAAUGAGUAAAAGCUAAAUAAAGCUCGACUUAGUUAUGGUUAUUAGGGCCGGUAAACCUCGUGCCAGCCACCGCGGUUAUACGAGGGGCCCAAAACAACAGACACCGGCGUAAAUUGUGACUAGAGCACCUACUUACAUCAUUGGAAAAUAAACAAAAACUCAAUCGUAAAACCUGAGCCAAAAGAAACAUACUUUUCCAACUACAAAGAAGCUUGAACCCACGAAGACUAAGAAACAAACUAGGAUUAGAUACCCUACUAUGCUUAGUUGUUAAUAUGAUACCAAAAACACUGGUAUCCGCCAGAAAAUUACACGCGAAAAGCUUAAAACUCAAAGGACUUGGCGGUGCUCCGUAUUCGCCUUAGAGGAGCCUGUCCUAUAAUCGAUAACCCACGCUUUACCUUACCAUCUUUUGUCAAAACAGCCUAUAUACCGCCGUCGCAAACUUACCCCAUGAGGGCAAAACAGUAAGUAAAAUAGUAGUACACUAACACGUCAGGUCAAGGUGUAGCUAAUAAGAUGGAAGAGAUGGGCUACAUUUUCUAAAACAGAAUACACGGCAAAGAGCAUUGAAAUGUGCUCUAAAAGGUGGAUUUAAUAGUAAGAUAGAAAAGAAGACCUAUCUAAAAA